UUUGCAGUUCCUCCCUCUCUUUGUCUCCCCGUCCCCUGCUUUACUAAGCCCUCCAGCAGCUGACAAACAGGGCCUAAAAUCGAAGACAAUCUGCAAAGGUCAAGCGUAAUUUUACUGGAACUCUUCCUGAAAGAAGAACCCAGGCAUCUUGCCUGGCAGGAUAGGGGGAAGGAAGAGAAACAAAGUCCCCAGAGAGGGGGAAGCAUUUUUUCUCUCUACCUGAAUUAUUUUGGAACCUCUGGGACAUGCUUGCAAAGGAACCUUCCAGCCACUAUGUCAACGGGCUGGCUCUGGCAAUCACACCUUUGGUAUUUCUUAAAAAUCAAACAUAUGGACGAGGACAGGGCAGAUGUCGGAGUUUCUUAGGCAAUCCUCUUAUUCUAUGAAAUUCUGUUUUUUGUGGAUUUCCCAAAGACUUGGUAUUCCAAGCCCUGGAGGCAAGAUAAAGUAAAAUAUUUGAAAUCUAAAGAGAACAAAAGAAAAUGAAGAAAAUCAGCAGUGAAAGGAUAGUAAUCCAAACAAGGAAGAGAAGCAAAGAGGAAGGUUAACAAAGAGGGAAAACAUGAUCCAUCUCUGUAAAGCCAACUUUUCAAUGUAGGGCUCUCAAAGUUAAUUUCCAAGCCUAAUUGGGAGCUAGAGUUAUUGUGAUCACUAUAGAGAAAUCCAAUAAAGCUGUCAAAAGCCUUCAUUAUAAAAGGCUUCGUGGUUGGAGGGAUUUCAUCUCGUUUGUCUGUGGCUGCCCUGCCUUUGGUCAUCGGGAUCAGAGUGUUUGAAUGAUUGUUUCUUUGGCUACUGCAGCUCCUGGCCUCAACUACGAGCAUUUUUCAACAACCUGAGAGGAAGGGACUCAGGUCCAUUGACCCUCCCCAUUCCUGAAGAUAGAAAUCUACUGAGAAGAGAACACCUAUUAUCUCCCCCUCACUUCUCUCCUUGUCAUGCAGGUACAGAGAGAUCAACUGAACCAUGCUUUAAGCAAGGAAAUUCUUCUCAAUCUCAGAUCUAGAACUGGAAGAGUUCUCAAAGGCUCCCCAGUCCAUUUUCCAGAGAGUGAAAAUGAGUUACUCUAGCCACAGAAUAAGAAGAAUGUUAAACGUCAGAACUCAGAGGGAUGGAGCAUCUAAGUCACUCGAGAAACAUUUUAUUAAACGUUGACUGUUCCAGGUACUGCGCUAAAUUGUGGGAUGCAAAAAGGGGCCAAAGACAGUCCCUGUCUUUAAGGAUAAAAGGAAAUUGAAGGUGAGAGCACUUGGAAAUUUAACAACAUCACAGAAAUGCAACACUCAUUCACACACCCUCGCACACACAAUUGAGUUUAUAGUAUUAUAGACUCUGAGAGCAAGGAGACCACCCAUUUAAUGUAAUCUCUGUUUUAAAAAAUAAUUGUAGUUGCAGUAACUCACUUAUCUGAAAUGCUUUGAAGGUUUGCACAAGAUCUGUUCACAUAUUACCUCAUUUGACUCUCGCAGCAGAACUGUGAGGCAGGUGCUACGGGCAUUGCUAUUCCCAUUUUACAGAUGAAGAAAAUGAAAUUCAGAGAGGGGAAACAUUUUCCCAAGUUCUCACAAAUCAGAAGCUGAGGUGAGAUUCCAAGGCAAACAUUUUUGAACCCAAGCCUAGGACUCAAUCUGCUAUGAUGCAUGGAAAUCAGUGUCUUGUAUUUUCAUUCCAAACUUGUACCAACUGUACAAAUUAUAAGGGGUUCCCAACAAGACCGGGGCUAAGAGGAGGGGAGAAAGCAGCAGAAGGUACCAAAUGAUAACUGCCUAUAAUAAAUGGUGGUCAAAUGAUUGAGGCAGCCCCAACUCGGUGCAGAAAGGACCUCCCAAACUGGAUGUGGGUGUUUAGUGGAUGGUUAGUGGAAAAGAGGGACUCCUCUCUCUUGGGAGCCUUCAGGGAUACACGCCUUGAGACUGUCUCAUGUUUUAAUAAA